UUCUUUUCGCGUAUGAUCGCCUCCGCAGAAAAGUUUAUGCAUUUAAAUUUUUUAGCGGGGGAGGAAAGUCCGAACACCAAGUUAGUAACUAGUUACUAGUUACUAACCUAGCGAUAGCGGCUAACAGCCGCCUCCCCAUCUAACUUUCGAUAGAAGCAAUGUGAACGAGAGUAGUUCUCGUUCACAAAAAGGUUGCUCUCAUAUAUGUUCUUUCGAAAGUUAGGUGGGGACGGGACAGUGUCACAGAGACUAUACCGCCGAUCGUCAAAUUGGUUAUUAGUUACUAGUAACUAGUUACUAAUUUUGAGGAGGCAAGGGUGAAAAGAGGUGAGGUAAGAGCUCACACUUCAGCGAAGCAAUCCGCUGGAACGAAAAACUCCUAUCCGGUGCAACCUCAAUUCGUUACCGGUAACUAGUUACUAGUAACCAGUAAUGAAACGGGGGCACGACCCGGCGAGCAAUCAACGGGCUAGACAGAUGAUCAUAUUCUUUGCACGAUUGUGCGAAGAAACAGAAUUCGGCUUAUAGCGGAAAGAACAAA
rnacentral:RNase_P_RNA from 2 species